CAGCACCUCAAGUGGUCAGGAUGAUUAUUGGGCCUAAAGCAUCCGUAGCCGGCGCUGUAAGUUUUCGGUUAAAUCUGUACGCUCAACGUACAGGCUGCCGGGAAUACUGCAGCGCUAGGGAGUGGGAGAGGUAGACGGUACUCGGUAGGAAGGGGUAAAAUCCUUUGAUCUAUUGAUGACCACCUGUGGCGAAGGCGGUCUACCAGAACACGUCCGACGGUGAGGGAUGAAAGCUGGGGGAGCAAUCCGGAUUAGAUACCCGAGUAGUCC
rnacentral:rRNA from 1 species